rnacentral:rRNA from 1 species
AUGGUGGUUGAGGAACAUCCUCAGACCUCUAGGAAGAGGGCUGCAGAUAAACAAAUCAACAAGGACAAUCCUGAGCUUGAUGAUGGCUCACCAGAGCCAGAGGCAAGGACAUUUAAGAAAGCUCGUAAAGAAGUGCUGACAAUCAGAACGACUGUUGAGGUUACAAGCCAGCAGCCACUGCCAGCUCCUUCUUCUAAUCCUUUCUCUGCAAUCAGGUUUACCCCAAGUGAUUCUGGUGUUAAGGGAAGUAUCCCCAUCUCAAAGUCUCCACCUUCUGAUGUCGCGACAACAAAUGUAAAGGGCAGUGGAGCGGGUGACAAAGUCAAUGGUUGCAGCAAUGGCAGUCGAAAAGAUGCUGACAAGAAUGCAGAUUGUAACGAGGCAGCAGAGGUUCAGAAGGAUGAGUCGGGCAUGAAAGAUUUGGAUGCAGAAAAGAAAUCCAAUGUCCCAACUGGAUCAAACUCUCUACUUAUUGGGACUGAUAGCAAGGCAGACAGCACAGGCUUAGGAACUGGUGAGGAUGGAGUGCUGGUUGUAGAACCCAACGAAGAUAGCAGCAAAUCAUGGGGAAUCAAGAGUAAAACAGAAGAUGCGGUUGCUGAAGAGAAAAAGUGUCUGGCCAUGGAUGACAACGGCAAGUCAGCUCAUAUCAUGAAUGAUCUUGCUGAUAGACAUCUUCAGUCAGUUGUUUGCCUAAAAGUUUGGUGGAGGGAUUGGUCUACGGAGGGGAGGAGACCGAUUAUGCCUCGGGCAACAGGUUCCAUCAUUUAUUCAUCUCAGGAGUCCAUGCUAAUUCUCAGCUGCUCUACAAUUUUCAGAAAUUUCACCACAUGCUUUGGUCCCGCAUUUGAUACCAUUGAAAUACUAAAUGAGAAUAUAUUUCUUCAAGUGGACUUCUUUGAUGGGCAUUCAGCUAUGGGCAUGGUUUAUUGCAUCAGUUGGUGGAAAGACUUGUGUCUUGUACUUAUUCCUUUCCCUGAGAGGACCUAUGAACCUGUAAAGUUCAUGGAUGAUGAGAAUUUGAUGGAUCAGUCUAUUUACAAAAGGGGAACAAAAGUGUUCUCAAUCUUUUGUAUACCAAAUGGUCAGAAGAUUUUGUUUGGCACUACCUCAAAUGGUAAAAUAUGUGGCCUCCCAAUAAUUGGCAAUGAUUUGGGUCCAGUUUACGAUCCUGACUUGGAGUUUUUUGAGUUCACUAUGCCGGGGGGAAAGGAGUGUCCUGGGAGACCUGUAUUCACAGAUAAUCUUUUAGUUAUGGGUAUUUGCACUUGUCGAUUUGAUAAAUUGGAGUUUGCUCUUACGCUUGAUCAGAUUCAGCGGUGGCUCCAUGAUUGUUUUGACAUCGAGAUGACAAGUAGUAUGAAUAAAACAGUAGCCAGAUUAUCUAGAAUCAUAUCUAAGCUGCCGGUCCCCAUUUCCCCCACCCCGCAUUCGCCCCGGCAAGGUCUCUACCCAGUCCGCCAUCAAGACCACCUAUGUCCAAGUCAGCUCACCGCCCAAGCAUGCCCAGACGCCCCUCUGCUUCCAGAAGCUGCCAAGCUUGUCCCCAAGUGGCUGACCAUGGAUGACGACCGCAAAUCAGCUCGUAUCAUGUGUGAACUCGCUGAUAAGCAUCUUGAGUCAGUCAUUUCCUUAAAAGUUCAGUGGAAGUAUAGCUCUAAGGAGGGGAGGAAACCGAUGAGGUCUUACGGAACAGGUUCCAUUAUCCACUCAUCCAAAAAGUUCAUUUUAAUUCUCAGCUCCUCUAAAGCUUUGAGAGCUUUCACCACACGCCCUGGCCCUGAUUUUAAUUCAGUUGGGAUGCUAAAUGAGAAUAUAAUCCUACGAGUGGACUUUCUUGAUGGGCAUUCAGCUAAGGGGGAAGUAUACUGCGUUGAUUGGUGGAAGGACUUAUGUCUUGUAUUUGUUCCUUACCCCAAGAAGUCAUAUGUCCCUGUUAAAUUCAUUGACAAUGAGGACUUGAUGGGUCAGUCUUUUUACAAAAGGGCAACAGAAGUGUUCUCAAUUUUCUGCUUCCCCACUUGUCAGAAAGAUGACAAGGUUUUAUUUGGCACUACCAUAAAUGGUAAAAUCUGUGGCGGCCCCGUGAUUGGCAAGGAUUUGGAUCCAGUGUAUGCUCCUGACUUAGAGUUUUUGAGUUUGAUAUGCCGGGGUCACUGGGAUGUUAUGGGGCACCUGUAUUCAAUGAGAGCCAUCUAG